GACGAACGCUGGCGGCGUGCUUAACACAUGCAAGUCGAACGAAGUGGCGAACGGGUGAGUAACGCGUAAUCAACCUGCCCUUCAGAGGGGGACAACAGUUGGAAACGACUGCUAAUACCGCAUACAGAAGGAGGGGAUUGCGUCUGAUUAGCUAGGUGGGGGGGUAACGGCACACCAAGGCGAUGAUCCGUAGCCGGGUGGGUAGAAGUAACGGCAAAAUUGGGACUGUGACACGGCCCAGACUCCUACGGGAGGCAGCAGUUGGGAUUCUUCCGCAAUGGACGAAAGUCUGACGGAGCAACGCCGAGUGAGUGAUGACGGCCUUCGGGUUGUAAAGCUCUGUUAAUCGGGACGCGGGACCGGAAUAGAAAGCCACGGCUAACUACGUGCCAGCAGCCGCGGUAAUAC
rnacentral:rRNA from 1 species